GUGAUUCAAUUAGCGUACGUUCAAUCGGACGGUCCACUGUUAGUAUUCCAUGAAACUGACUGUUGCUUAACGCUUAAGCCAUUUGCAAAAUGGUCAGAGACGGAACUCCACAUCCCGCACCCCCUCGAUUGGUUCUAGCCAAGAAUCUCGAGCCCACGCGGCUGCAAUUCAAUUGCCUCAUUGCAAAUGGUUCGAACAGAUAAAAUCGUUUCCCUGAACCAGCAGAACCAAGGACGUCGAACCGCGAAGUGAUUGCUUCUUGCGGUAAAUGUCUUCGCGCCAAUCUGAAACUGUGAUUUCAGCUGAUUAAUUCGUAUUGUCAAGGACUAGGACGUCCCUAUAUUCUGCAACCAAGACGGUUUUCACAAGUUUCUCCCAAGUAUUAUGGGUGACCAUGAUAAUGUUUUUGAUGAAAGCUACGAAAAGACUGAUACUGGGGCAGUGAUACGCAAUGGAAGAGAAAUCCUUUUCCAGGCAUUCAGCUGGGAAUCUCAUAAAUAUGAUUGGUGGGAAAAUCUAGAGAGUAAAGUUCAUGAUAUCGCAAAAAGUGGAUUUACCUCUGCAUGGUUGCCUCCUCCAACUCAUUCCAUUGCUCCUCAAGGUUACCUCCCUCAGAACCUUUACUCCCUAAACUCUUCAUAUGGUUCUGAGGACAUGCUGAAAACUUUACUUCUCAAAAUGAAGCAGUGCAAGGUUAGAGCAAUUGCUGACAUAGUCAUCAAUCAUCGUGUUGGGACUGUUGUAGGACAUGGAGGAAUGCAUAAUCGCUUUGACGGAAUACUAUUACCAUGGAACGAGUAUGCUGUUACCUCGUGUUCUGGUGGCCUGGGCAAUCGUAGCACUGGUGACAACUUCCAUGGGGUUCCAAACAUUGAUCAUACCCAACCUUUUGUCCGUAGAGAUAUCAUAGCAUGGCUGAAGUGGCUACGCAGUAGUGUUGGAUUUCAGGAUUUUCGUUUUGAUUUUGCAAGGGGUUUUUCUGCAAAAUUCGUGAAAGAAUAUAUUGAAGCGGGAAAGCCAAUGCUUUCUAUUGGGGAAUAUUGGGAUUCUUGUAAUUAUAAUGGUCAUGACUUGGACUAUAAUCAAGAUGGACAUAGACAGCGGAUAAUAAAUUGGAUUGAUGGCACAGGACAACUUUCAGCUGCUUUUGAUUUUACAACUAAGGGAGUCCUUCAGGAAGCUGUUAGAAGACAAUUAUGGCGUCUGCGUGACUGUCAAGGAAAGCCACCAGGUGUGAUGGGAUGGUGGCCUUCAAGGGCCGUGACAUUCUUAGAUAAUCAUGAUACCGGUUCAACGCAGGCCCAUUGGCCCUUUCCUGCCAACCAUAUCAUGGAGGGCUAUGCAUAUAUUCUCACGCACCCAGGGAUACCAACAGUAUUUUAUGACCACUUAUACGAAUGGGGUGACUCAGUGCACGACGAGAUAGUAAGAUUAAUAGACAUUCGAAAACAUCAAGACAUCAACAGUCGGUCAUCUGUGAAGAUCCUCGAGGCACGAUCAGAUCUUUAUUCUGCAAUAAUUGGGGAGAAAUUGUGCAUGAAGAUCGGAGAUGGUUCUUGGUGUCCUUCUGGUACGGAAUGGACUCUUGCAACCUCUGGCUGGAGAUAUGCAGUGUGGCAGAAAUAAGUGUGUGCCACAUAGCAGAAGUGUAGGGAAGAGACGACAAAGCAUCGCCAUCACAAUACCACGGUCAAUCCCCUCAUCAUUUUUGCUUUGAAACUCCAAAAGAUACACAGAACAACGCAACCCUUCCACGGCUUCCCUUAAUCUUGACCUUCAUCCCGUAUAUUAUUCUCUUCGUGCAGGAUUAUAAAGUAGAUUUUUCUUGAGGCUCCAAAUGCAGCAGCCAGCGAUGAACUCUUUCUCUCUGACGUCCACCGCCGGAGCAUAAUUGGGGAUUCUAAGAUAUCCACUUUUUAACCACAACGGCUCGCAAUCAUUGAAAACAGUAUGGGAAUCCCAUCCAGUAUCCACCGAGAGCUGUGCAGUAAACAAAAGUGUAAGGCCCACUUGAACAAUAACAAAAUGUUGUUGGUUUUUACUGCUUGCUUGCUGCCUGAUUCUUUGAAUGAAAUUCAACUUUGUGGUUUGGUCAACCAUCCUGAAUUUUAGUUAAGAAAGAGAAAGAAAAUUAGAUGCUUAUAAGCAUGCGUAAGUGAAGUUUUCUAGUGGUCGUCCCUACAAACAAAAUGCCAUAUACACGUUUCCCCAAGGAACAUGGAAGUUGUUGGAAUUUUUGCACCCCAGCCCUAGCAACGAACCACAUGAUCAAAGUCCUUUCCAAGAUUCAAGUAAAGAUCACAUGAAUGUUUUCCCUAUCAACAUUAGACUAAGUGAAGGAUAGUGGGUCAUUUUAGAAUUUUUGACUCAUGUCGGUUUCUACUAUUUAUAAGAAUUUUUUUAGUACCAUUGGAGUAUCAUUGCUUUCUUUCGUUUAUACUAUAAGUUUGCUUUUCUAAAUA